CACGUAGGGGCCAAGCGUUGUCCGGAUUCAUUGGGCGUAAAGAGCUCGUAGGCGGUUCAGUCAGUCGGGUGUGAAAUCUCCGGGCUCAACUCGGAGGGGCCACCCGAUACUGCUGUGACUCGAGUCCGGUAGGGGAGUGGGGAAUUCCUGGUGUAGCGGUGAAAUGCGCAGAUAUCAGGAAGAACACCCGUGGCUAAGGCGGCUCUCUAGUACGGUACUGACGCUGAGACGCGAAAGCGUGGGGAGCGAACAGG
rnacentral:rRNA from 1 species